rnacentral:lncRNA from 1 species
CCGAUGCUCGAAAGCGAAAUUUGCGGAAAGUGAGAGUGUCCCGGCCGCGUCAGGCGACAAAACCGUUUGCGCGGGCGCUUCCGGGUAGCGCCGGUCGCCUCCUCAGGUACACACGAGGGCGCGAGGUCGACCGCGUCCGCCGCCCGAGCUAAGGGCUUGCGCCGCGGCCUUCUCGGAGUCUUCCGGGUCAGAGUUCAAGGCGCAGGGCUUGGAGUUUGCAGCGUCGAAAGGAAGCGUCGGAUUCCGCAACUAUGAUGCUGGACGCCACAUUUGUGAGGUUGUACCUGUCGUUGGCGGCAACACCGAUCCGGCUGGAUUAGCGUUCGCGUCGAGCGAGAAGCCGGUCUCACUCGGCGGCUGGCCACGACAGGGGCCACGGAGGAGUUACCUUAAUCGUCUCGCCAAACGAGAUGUGUUCAAGUUGAUCCAAGCGACAGUGUCCGGCAUUGCGGACGUUGGCGAAGGAAACUAUGCUCUUCUCCGCUGGA